AAUACUUUAGAAACUGAUUCCAGAGAAAGGCUCCUUUUUACGGUUUUCUAAUUAAAGUCGUAUUGAUUCCAGGCACUUUCUGUGAAUUCAAUGAAGAGACAAGAAAUAGAAAUUGACAGUUAUGGAGCUGCUGCCGCGAGGUGAGGGAGGUGCCAUCGUCCCCAUCGUUCCAGACUGCAGGUGGAGGAGCCUCCCCAGGGCCACGCUUCGAGGAAGGGGUGGAGCCGUCUCUCAGCCAGGCGGCCGGGACAGAAGACUGAGCUCUUCCCACCGUGCACCCCGUGCACAGGAGCAGCACAUGGGGAAAACAAACCUCGGGGAAAAAGGCACUGAAGGACGAGUGAGGUCAGUGGAGACCCAGGCUGGCACCAGAAGGCUGCAGGGACAAGGUGUGGCGAGGCCUCGGAGCAGAGUGGGGCUGACCUGGCCGCGCUGAGGACAGAGGCGUCGGGACAGGAGGGGCCGGCGUGCUGUGGGGCGACAGCACCCCUAACAGAGCCGUGAGGCUGGCCGUCUCCAGUGGACUCUUCCUACGUCUGCCCCUCGUUUCUUUCUCUCUGGUUUUCCUUAAGAAGAAACCAAGUGCAAACGCCUGCUGUAAGAUCAUAUAGCACCCAGAUAUGCAUAAAGCAGAGACUUAAGGCCGACACCACAACUUUAGUUACUGACGGAGGCCUUUCUUCCUCCCUGUGUACUUCAACGGGCCUUACCAUUUUACGUCUUUGAUAACCUACCUUACCUGAAUUUAAGUCAAGCUGUUUGAAUUGUGUUAAUAGUUAUUCCUUAUUUUAAUUGAAUGAGAGGAUUUUCCCCUUGGUUCACACCCUGACUAUUGAACUCUGGCAGUCUAUAACAAUACGUGGCAAAGACGUUACAGAACAGGAAGUCCAAACUUAUUAAUGGGCUGUAUUCUAGAACCUCACUGCAAAUUAGCUGUUUGGAACCUGGAGUUUAUCUUCCCAUGGAAAUAGUGGUUAAAUUCCCAGCGGGCCUACAAAAGCUUGCUUAAGCAGGAAGGCAGCAGAAAUGAACAGUCCCCUUUGUGCUGACCUCUGCCGGUUACUCUGAGGGCUCUAUAGAUUUCUCUUCUUACUACAAUGUUUCAGCUAAGCACCACUUUUGGGACACAGUUUUUUCACUAUAAAUUAUAGAAAAG
rnacentral:lncRNA from 1 species